ensembl:lncRNA
UUUUCCGAAUCUUACUAGUUCAUUUAAAUUGUCCACUAUACAUGUCCAGUAAUUACCUUAAUUUAACUUUGACUUCUUAAUGCAUCAAGUGUCAUAUAUCAUCUCGAGGUCUUCACUGACUAAACUUAUUAGGGGCGAAACGGUUUGUCAUAGUGGAAAUUACACUGAAACUCAUAACAGACGGUUGUAAUUUAUGCACAAAAAAAUUUAUAAAUCAUUUUCACAUUAUAAAUAUUGAAAUGGUAACUUUUUGUUUACACCAUAGUUUUAAAAAUGCAAUCAAUAUUUUUACAAUGCAUUUUCAUAGUUUCAGACUAGGGUCAGGACAAAUAUUUGAAAGAAAACCUAAAUGAAAGCAUUUCUUAAAAGCAAAAAUUAAAGUCUGUUGGUUAAUAUAAAUCAACUCCUGGUUCAUAAAAGUGCCUGUACUUAAAGAAACACCCACAUCCAACCAAUCAGAGUCUCCGCACUGGAUUUGAGGAACAGCUCUGACCUUCCAGCCAAUGAGAAAGGAGGAAAAUGGACAGGCUCCACCCCCACGAUACUGCUCUCCUCACGUGCCCUUUCUCUCUCUCUCUUUCUCUCUCUCUCUAUCUCUCUACCCUUCGUUCAUCCGUCCAUCUGCCCCGUUCCCUUGAAUCCCUCCCUUGCGGUGACAGAACGAGGCUGGGAAAGAAAACGACAAAAAACAUUAGACGUUCCCUCAAACACACCCUCACCGUGCUGCAAGGGAUGUGUGGCGAUAUCGUUUCCCUCCAUUUCUUCCCAGUGUUCAACGCUAUGGCAGGCGCUAUUGUAAUAAAUGAAAAGGAAAACGACACAGCAAAAAAGGUUGUGUUUGCUCUGGCUCUCGCUCCAGAAACCCCUCGAGGCCGGACUCACUGUACAAACUUUUUUUCCCUCCGAAUGCAGAGCACACGCUCAUUCUCUCUCUUUCUUUCUUUCUUUCUCUCUCUCCCCCUCACGCUUCCUCUCGGCGGCUCAACUAAUGAGAGCGCAGAAAGAGAGAAAGCCUGCGAACUGCGAAAAUCUCUUUCCAGCUCUUGCGGACUUACUCAACACUUCUCUUUGCAGUCUCUCUGGGGAUUGUGGGAAGACUUGUGACAUUUCAGAAGGACUGACCUUGAUCCGUGUCCAGGGAAGCGUCCGAGAGGCCAACGAACCAAACGCUGGCUCGCUCUUCAUUAAAACACACGGGCACGCAGGUCACCGAGUCCACGGUAGCGUCCUUCCCCGGGACGGCAGACAGGUGCUGUCUGGGUCAGGAGGUAAAUAAGAGCACGGACCGCAGGCCAGACGCUGAGCCAGUAAAUACACACCGCC